AGCCAAUAGGGUUGCCUAUUCUCAAGAUUAGUGUGUGUGGUAUUAAAAAGGGCCUAAAUAAAUGCUUUUGCAGCAAUUUUCUACUCUUAACUUUUGUUCCUAUAGUAUAGGACCUGCAUAAGUAAUAGCU
rnacentral:snoRNA from 1 species